rnacentral:rRNA from 1 species
AGAGUUUGAUCAUGGCUCAGGAUGAACGCUAGCUACAGGCUUAACACAUGCAAGUCGAGGGGAAACGACAUCGAAAGCUUGCUUUUGAUGGGCGUCGACCGGCGCACGGGUGAGUAGCGCGUAUCCAACCUGCCCACCACUUGGGGAUAACCUUGCGAAAGUAAGACUAAUACCCAAUGACGUCUCUAGAAGACAUCUGAAGGAGAUUAAAGAUUUAUCGGUGAUGGAUGGGGAUGCGUCUGAUUAGCUUGGUUGGCGGGGUAACGGCCACCAAGGCGACGAUCGAGUAGGGGUUCUGAGAGGAAGGUCCCCCANAUUGGAACUGAGACACGGUCCAAACUCCGUACGGGAGGCA